rnacentral:rRNA from 1 species
UAAUACAAUUGAAUAUAUUUGGUUAAGACAGUUAUUUUAUGAUUUUAGAAUUAAUUUAUAAAUUUUUAAGGUGAAAUUUAAAAUUUUUUUAUGAUUCUUACUAUGAUUCUGUGAAACUUAAAUAAUAAACUAGGAUUAGAUACCCUAUUAUUUUAAGUGUUAAUUUUGCUUACCNGGGUAGUAUUAGUUAGGAUCUUAAAACCCAAAGAAUUUGGCGGUAUCUCAUUCCAUUUAGAGGAACCUACCCCAUAAUUGAUAAUACACGAUUAACUUUACUUAAUUUAUUUGUUUGUAUAUCUCCGUUAUCAGAAAAUCUUUUUGGAGUUAUAAUUUUCUUAAUUUNUAAUUNUAAAAUAUUUCAGGUCAAGGUGCAGCUUAUAAUUAAGAGGAGGUGGGUUACAAUAAAUUUUAGUUUAUUACGUAUUUNAUAGUGNAAUNCUAUUAAUNAAGGUGGAUUUAAUAGUAAUUUNAUUUAUUUAAUUNAAUUGAUAUUGGCUCUGNNGUGUGUACACAUCGCCCGUCACUCUCAUUAUUG